CAGCUGCCUCUAACCUCCCAGAUGGGAGGAGAGGAGAGAGCUGCGGCAGGUCAGUGCUCUGGGUGCAGGCCCUCCAUACUGGCUGACUCCCAGGUCCCCUGGGGAGUCCAUGAUAUACCCAGCUCUAGGCCCCAGCCAGACCGAUCGGUCUGGAUCUCUGAGGAUUCUCUCAAUAAAAAGCUGCAACAAAACCUCAAUAUGGUCUGGAGCCAACUAUGCAGAAGCGAAGCAGGGAUGUCACAAAUCCUUUUUCCCCUGAGCUGGACGACCCCGGCUGCUCAGGCUCUCCCCUCCAGCUGGGCUUCACAUCUCUUACGACCCACCCAACGUGAAUGUUGCUGUAGCCUCUGUGCAGCCCCGAGGAGGCUAGCUUCACCCGCCUGUACCCGCACGCUCCCUCGGGCCGCCUCCUCGCCAGUUCUGUUUGGAAGACUGCUGGCCUGCUGGGUCCGGUGCUGUUCCCAUCUGACAGAGAGGCCUGCCAUCCGAUGGAGGGCACAUGGGUUUGCUGCGGUCAUGCAGGAAGGCUGCACCAGGCGAAAACCCAAGGAAGCUGUGUGUUACGUGCCACCAGCUGGAGAUCUCGAAGUCCGCCCACACCCGAGAAGUGAACAGGCUGAACUGAAUGCUGCAGGGCCAAUUCCGGGUGUGAGCAGCCCGUGAAAUGGUUGUGGGGCUAGGAGGGCACUGUCUCAUUCUAUGUAUCCCACAGCCCAUCGCAGCAGAUGGGGAGGGGUGUGUGUGUGUUCUGAGUGUGAAUGUCUGUUUUUAUGAGUGAGUGUGUAUGUCAAAUGCAUGUGUGUGAAGGUGUGUGAAUUCUGUAUGUGUAUGUGUGAAUAUGUUUGUGAAUGUAUAUGAAUGUGUCUGAAUUUGUGAAUGUGUGUGAAUAUGAAUGUGUGAAUGUAUGCGUGUGGAUUUAUGUGUGCAUGUGUAUUUUUAUGAAUGAGUGUGAAUAUGUGUUUUUAUGAAUGAAUGUAAGUGUGUGAAUUCUGUGUGAAUGUGUUUGUAAAUGUGUACGUGAGUAUGUGUAUGAAUGUGUGUGAAUGUGUUUGUGUGAAAAUUAUGUGUGAAUGUACGUGUUUGUGAGAAUGUGUGUAUGAGUGAAUGUGUGUGUAAAGAUGUGUAUAUGUGAAUGCAACGUGUGUGAAUGUGUGUGCAAAUGUAUGUGUGGAUGAGUAUGCAAAUAAAUGUGUGUAUGGAUGUGCAUGUGUGUGUGUAAAUGUGUGGAUAUAUGGAAGGUGUGUGAAAAUGUGUGUAUGUAUGAAUGUGUGGGAAUUGUGAGAAUGUCUGUGUGAGAAUGUGUAUGUGUGCAAAUGUGUAAUAUGUAUAUGAACAUGUGGGCAUGCCUGUAUAUGUGAAUGUGUGUGCAGGGCGGUGUCAUGGGAAGGGGGUUCUUUUGACCCACCCACAGGCCUUAAAUUUAG
rnacentral:lncRNA from 1 species